GGAGCGAGCUGGAGAGAGCACAGAGGAGAGUGGAGGCAGCCCGGAGGAGCCUGGGGGAGGCAGAGCGAUCGGCUGAGGAUGGGCUCAGGGGGCAGCAUCGAGAACAGCCGCAGGAGGAGGCUGAAGCCCUGGAAGUGGCGCAGAAGGGUUUUGAGGAGCUGGAAUUUCAGUGGCUGGAGAGACUGAGCAGUGUGGAGGAGGAGAAGGAGACCCAGAACCGACGUCUGCAGCAGGAGCUAUCUCUGAUUCAGAAACGGGUGGCGGACAGAGAGGAGACAGUGAGGAGCUUGCAGGAGCAGCUCAAGGAGAUCAAGGAACAGGUCAACCCGGAGGGGAGGCGACGGAUCACCCUCA